AGCUAGCAAGCAGAGUGCCAGACCCCAGAACACGCACACUCCACGUUUGCAGACAAUGCACUGCUCCAGACGUUCUAGAGGUGCUGCUGAGAUAGAACAUCUAUCUAACCUCGACGCAAAGCACUGCCCCAGACACUAUGGAGACGUCAGUGAGACCAAGACCCCUUACCCUCUAGGAAUUUGAGCAGCCAGCAGGCCAAAUAAAGCAGGAUUAAAUAGCUGCCUUCUGGGUUGUUGUGAAGCUUAAGAAGAGAUUUAUAAAAGAGCUUAGCACAGCGCCUAACACGCGGGUUAUUCUCAGUGAACGUUACCUGUUAUCUCCAUCAUCUCCUCUGCCAUCAUAAUCACUGCCGCCACCUCUAGGAUGUGACUUUCUUCUUUCCUUGAGGGGGACCCUGGUGCAGUCUUCAGG